AGACCCGAAACCCGGUGAUCUAGCCAUGGGCAGGUUGAAGGUUGGGUAACACUAACUGGAGGACCGAACCGACUAAUGUUGAAAAAUUAGCGGAUGACCUGUGGCUGGGGGUGAAAGGCCAAUCAAACCGGGAGAUAGCUGGUUCUCCCCGAAAGCUAUUUAGGUAGCGCCUCGUGAAUUCAUCUCCGGGGGUAGAGCACUGUUUCGGCUAGGGGGCCAUCCCGGCUUACCAACCCGAUGCAAACUGCGAAUACCGGAGAAUGUUAUCACGGGAGACACACGGCGGGUGCUAACGUCCGUCGUGAAGAGGGAAACAACCCAGACCGCCAGCUAAGGUCCCAAAGUCAUGGUUAAGUGGGAAACGAUGUGGGAAGGCCCAGACAGCCAGGAUGUUGGCUUAGAAGCAGCCA
rnacentral:rRNA from 1 species